rnacentral:rRNA from 1 species
AUUGAACGCUGGCGGAAUGCUUUACACAUGCAAGUCGAACGGCAGCACGGACUUCGGUCUGGUGGCGAGUGGCGAACGGGUGAGUAAUACAUCGGAACGUGCCCAGUCGUGGGGGAUAACGUAGCGAAAGCUACGCUAAUACCGCAUACGAUCUAAGGAUGAAAGCGGGGGGUCGCAAGACCUCGCGCGAUUGGAGCGGCCGAUGGCAGAUUAGGUAGUUGGUAGGGUAAAGGCCUACCAAGCCGACGAUCUGUAGCUGGUCUGAGAGGAUGAUCAGCCACACUGGGACUGAGACACGGCCCAGACUCCUACGGGAGGCAGCAGUGGGGAAUUUUGGACGAUGGGCGCAAGCCUGAUCCAGCCAUUCCGCGUGCAGGAUGAAGGCCUUCGGGUUGUAAACUGCUUUUGUACAGAACGAAAAGGCUCUGGUUAAUACCCGGGGCUCAUGACGGUACUGUAAGAAUAAGCACCGGCUAACUACGUGCCAGCAGCCGCAGUAA